UGGGGAAUUUUGGACAAUGGGCGAAAGCCUGAUCCAGCAAUGCCGCGUGCAGGAUGAAGGCCCUCGGGUUGUAAACUGCUUUUGUACGGAACGAAAAGCCUGGGGCUAAUAUCCCCGGGUCAUGACGGUACCGUAAGAAUAAGCACCGGCUAACUACGUGCCAGCAGCCGCGGUAAUACGUAGGGUGCAAGCGUUAAUCGGAAUUACUGGGCGUAAAGCGUGCGCAGGCGGUUUUGUAAGACAGUGGUGAAAUCCCCAGGCUCAACCUGGGAACUGCCAUUGUGACUGCAAGGCUAGAGUGCGGCAGAGGGGGAUGGAAUUCCGCGUGUAGCAGUGAAAUGCGUAGAUAUGCGGAGGAACACCGAUGGCGAAGGCAAUCCCCUGGGCCUGCACUGACGCUCAUGCACGAAAGCGUGGGGAGCAAACAGGAUUAGAUACCCUGGUA
rnacentral:rRNA from 1 species